UAGGCCACAGACUGGUAACAGCAGGCUACGUCUGCACACUGUGACCGAGGGGAUAAAUACACAAACAGAGAGAUUCACCCGAGGACCAGAGAUACAAAAACAACAACCUGAGAGCAAAGGAGAUUAAUCAAACCUGUGUGUGGAGCUUUUGUGAAUACUGAAGACCUGAUCCAGCUAUCAAACCUCUUCGCCCCUAUUGAGACGGACCUACCAGCCACGGGAGUCAGCACGGCCGCCCAGUAGCACCCUUCCCCACAGCCACGAUCCUUCAGCAAGUCACUUCCCUAUCGGAUUUCAGCAUGACCACCAUCGUUGUGGGCAGCUCGAUGGUUGAAGCACAUCCCUAACACCCAGACAGAUGUCAAGAACUUGGGAACCUCUCAGCCACCAGGAACAUCAUCUUGUUCUUGGAGUUUAUUCACAAGGUUUGUCAUAUGAUUUCCAGGCACUUGGUGGAGAUGAAUACAACAAUAAUCCAUGGCAGGACAUUUCCCUGCACCCAGAUGGAGCCCUGCUACCAGCAGGAACAUGGAGCACGCCAUGUCACUAAGUCAUGCCUUUUUCACAAAGGUGCUACAGAGACAUAAUAUUCAAAUGACCUCCAGAGCCCCCAGACGAACUACCUGAGAUCUCUUCAGGGCACAGAGAAGUGAGUCUGCUGGGUCAUGGAACUCUAGAGCAGCACAUCAAAACACCUGCCACCCUGUUGUCAGCUAUCAGCAGACAGUUCCCUGAGGAAGGAUGCAACUAUCAAGGCUUUAAAAUUGUCAAAUGUGGGGGAUGAUCACCAAAUGCAAUAAAGUUUGGUAGAACCUA